CUCGUCCACUCUCAGGCAGCAGCACAGGGACUGCAAACCGACACUUUCGUGGCCAAUAGCUUAGUUGCCAUGUACUGCAAGUGUGGAAGCUUACUUGAUGCUCGCAUGGUCUUUGACAGGAUGCCAGUCUCAACUGUUGUGUCGUGGACGGCCUUGAUUCUCGCGCACGCUGAAAACGCACAAGCCGAGUUAGCACUGGAGUUCUUCAAGGCAAUCCAAAGUGACAAAACCUGUGAACUCGACUCCAGGGCUUACAUUGCAGCACUCGUGGCGUGUGGAGCUCUGACCGCACUCGAGGCUGGAAGACGAAUCCAUGCAGAAGUUUGCAAGCGGGGUUUCGACGGCGAAGUCUACGUUGCAAACGCUCUUGUCGACUUCUACGCCAAGUGUGGAAGCAUGGACGAAGCAAUGGCAGU
rnacentral:lncRNA from 1 species